UACGGAGGGGGCCAGCGUUGCUCGGAAUCACUGGGCGUAAAGGGCUUGUAGGCGGUCUGAUAAGUCCUGUGUGAGAUCCCUUGCUUAACCAAGGAAUUGCGCCGGAUACUGUCGGACUAGAGGCCGGGAGAGGGAAGCGGAAUUCCGAGUGUAGCGGUGAAAUGCGUAGAUAUUCGGAGGAACACCGGUGGCGAAGGCGGCUUCCUGGACCGGUUCUGACGCUGCAGAGCGAAAAGCUAGGGGGAG
rnacentral:rRNA from 1 species